GUCGGGAGGAGGCCACGGGGUGAACAUUCGCCCCAGACCUGAUGUGGGGCAGUGAGGCCUCACCCUGCCCAGUUUGCACUCAGUCAGGUCGUGUUCAGCUGCUCCUAUGCACGCCCCUACACACACAACUCCAACCCGCAAACACACACACACACACGCACACGCCCUCUCAAACUUUAAUGCACCCUUGAGUCUCCCGGGGACGUCAAACGCACACUCCAGGACUCCACUCCAAAGACUGCUUCAGAGCAGCUGGAUUCUGCAUUGGCACAAGCUUCCCCAGGUAGGUGUUGCCCCGAGCCAUGGCUCCCAAGUUUCGCCAUGUCAAGGAAUUUCCUGAUGGAUGUGGCAGGACCUGCCCAAUCUCAGGAGCUCCGAUCCACUUGCUUUGUGGUGAAGACAGGAAAAUGCAUUUUUAG
rnacentral:lncRNA from 10 species